UCUUGACUAGUAUAUCGGUUUAGUACAGCCGCUUGUCAUCGGAGCGACACCGCGUAAGCUGUACGCGGCAGAGCUGGGUUCGACUCCCAGGUCGAGAG